rnacentral:lncRNA from 13 species
UUGACUAAAGUGAGUUUAGAGACACUACUAACAGAAAUUUGCUCUAGCAAUGAGAAAUUGGCCAAGCAGAGGACGAAAAUAUCUGAUGUUAAAAAAAAACACGUGAAGGAGGCCAAAAGCAGCUUAACCCUGGAGAACAUCGCACGAGGAAAGCUACAGAAAACCGUGGAUGAACAAAAACAUCAUUAUGGGAUUACUGAAAUAUUAAAUGGGAUGGAGGACUUCAGUCACCUUCCAAAUAUUUAUUUAGUACAUUCAUCGAAAGCUGUGAAACAACCGGAACGGAGGAAUUUACUGGAAAAGGGGCUGGAUACAGAUCCUAAUGGAACCUUGGAAUAUUCAGGAAAACAAGGAUCGUUUCAAACUGAACUUUACAAUGGAAUUCCCUUUGUGUAACUUUCAAGACCUGUCAAAAGUCCCCAAUGACUCAAACAUGACCCAUUGUGUAAAAUGACCUGAUACAAUACAAGUCACAAAGUAUCUGUUCCCUCCGUUAUUUCACCAAACAUCUCUCUGCAGUGAAAAUCAGCAGACCUGAAGAGUAUCUGGACGACGUCUCUGUCUCAGGUUUUAGGGAAGUAUAUCGUUGUGGACCUGUUUGACUUGGACAGGGCACAGAACUGUUUCGGAAGUGUUAUUUCAAAAAGGAUGGAUGUGCAAUUGGACUUUGGUGAGGCUUCACAUGUGGGUCUUUGAAAAGCCUGGCUACUGAGACCGGCUGCCACACACAUGAAAGACGUUUUCCUGCUCUCCCUCUCUCUGUCUUUUCUUUCCUUUCUCCCUCGUUAUUNNNNNNNNNNCCUGCCAUCAUUCACUUUGAACUGGACUGUGUGUUUACAGGCAGUAGGGCCUGCCAUCAUUCACUUUGAACUGGACAGUGUGUUUACAGGCAGUAGGGCCUGCCUUCAAUCACUUUGAACUGGACUGGGUGUUUACAGGCAGUAGGGCCUGCCUUCAAUCACUUUGAACUGGACUGGGUGUUUACAGGCAGUAGGACCUGCCAUCAUUCCCUUUGAACUGGACUGUGUGUUUACAGGCAGUAGGACUGCCAUCAUUCACUUUGAACUGGACUGUGUGUUUACAGGCAGUAGGACCUGCCAUCAUUCACUUUGAACUGGACUGUGUGUUUACAGGCAGUAGGGCCUGCCAUCAUUCACUUUGAACUGGACUGUGUGUUUACAGGCAGUAGG